GACGAACGCUGGCGGCGUGCUUAACACAUGCAAGUCGAACGGAAAGGCCCUGCUUUUGUGGGGUGCUCGAGUGGCGAACGGGUGAGUAACACGUGAGUAACCUGCCCUUGACUUUGGGAUAACUUCAGGAAACUGGGGCUAAUACCGGAUAGGAGCUCCUGCUGCAUGGUGGGGGUUGGAAAGUUUCGGCGGUUGGGGAUGGACUCGCGGCUUAUCAGCUUGUUGGUUGGGUAGUGGCUUACCAAGGCUUUGACGGGUCGCCGGCCUGAGAGGGUGACCGGCCACCUUGGGACUGAGAUACGGACCAGACUCCUACGGGAGGCAGCAGUGGGGAAUAUUGCACAAUGGGCGGAAGCCUGAUGCAGCAACGCCGCGUGCGGGAUGACGGCCUUCGGGUUGUAAACCGCUUUCGCCUGUGACGAAGCGUGAGUGACGGUAAUGGGUAAAGAAGCACCGGCUAACUACGUG
rnacentral:rRNA from 1 species